GGAGGAUCCAAGCGUUAUCCGGAAUCAUUGGGUUUAAAGGGUCCGUAGGCGGUCAGGUAAGUCAGUGGUGAAAGCCCAUCGCUCAACGGUGGAACGGCCAUUGAUACUGCUUGACUUGAAUUAUUAGGAAGUAACUAGAAUAUGUAGUGUAGCGGUGAAAUGCUUAGAGAUUACAUGGAAUACCAAUUGCGAAGGCAGGUUACUACUAAUAUAUUGACGCUGAUGGACGAAAGCGUGGGUAGCGAACAGGAUUAGAUACCCUGGUAGUCCACGCCGUAAACGAUGGAUACUAGCUGUUGGGAGCAAUCUCAGUGGCUAAGCGAAAGUGAUAAGUAUCCCACCUGGGGAGUACGAACGCAAGUU
rnacentral:rRNA from 1 species